rnacentral:rRNA from 1 species
UACGUAGGGUCCGAGCGUUGUCCGGAAUUACUGGGCGUAGAGCGCGCGCAGGCGGCCCGCGAGGUGUCACGUGAAAGCCCCGGGCUCAACCCGGGAGGGUCGUGGCAAACCGGCGGGCUUGAGGCCGGUAGAGGUGGGUGGAACUCCUGGUGGAGUGGUGAAAUGCGUAGAGAUCAGGAAGAACACCCGUGGCGAAGGCGGCCCACUGGGCCGGUACUGACGCUGAGGCGCGAAGGCGUGGGGAGCAAACAGG